GAGUUUGAUCAUGGCUCAGGACGAACGCUGGCGGCGUGCCUAACACAUGCAAGUCGAACGGAGAUUUCAGCAAUGGAAUCUUAGUGGCGAACGGGUGAGUAACGCGUAGACAACCUACCUUCUAGAUGGGGACAACACUGCGAAAGUGGUGCUAAUACCGAAUGUUGUAGUUGGGAUGCAUAUCCUAAUUACUAAAGGUGGCCUCUAUUUAUAAGCUACCACUAGAAGAUGGGUCUGCGUCUGAUUAGCUAGUUGGUGAGGUAACGGCUCACCAAGGCGACGAUCAGUAGCCGGUCUGAGAGGAUGAACGGCCACACUGGGACUGAGACACGGCCCAGACUCCUACGGGAGGCAGCAGUGGGGAAUCUUCCGCAAUGGACGAAAGUCUGACGGAGCAACGCCGCGUGAGUGAAGAAGGUUUUCGGAUCGUAAAACUCUGUUUUAAGGACGAAUGUGCAAUAUGUGAAUAAUGUGUUGUAAUGACGGUACCUGACAAGAAAGCCACGGCUAACUACGUGCCAGCAGCCGCGGUAAUACGUAGGUGGCAAGCGUUGUCCGGAAUUAUUGGGCGUAAAGCG
rnacentral:rRNA from 1 species